rnacentral:rRNA from 1 species
UGCAGUCGAACGAAGCCGAUUUCUUCGGAGAGCGGCUUAGUGGCGAAAGGGUGAGUAAUACAUGGAUCAUCUGCCCUCGGGACCGGGACAACAGCGGGAAACUGCUGCUAAUACCGGAUUGUCCUGAAGAGGUAAACGGUGGGGACCUUCGGGCCUGCCGCCUGAGGAGGAGUCCAUGGCCUAUCAGCUAGUUGGUGAGGUAACGGCUCACCAAGGCUAAGACGGGUAGCUGGUCUGAGAGGAUGGUCGGCCACACUGGGACUGAGACACUGCCCAGACUCCUACGGGAGGCUGCAGUCGAGAAUCUUCCGCAAUGGACGAAAGUCUGACGGAGCGACGCCGCGUGCGGGAUGAAGGCCCUCGGGUUGUAAACCGCUGUCACACGUUAUGAACAAGCCUGUGUUAAUACCCCAGGCUCUGACGUAAGCGUGGGAGGAAGCCACGGCUAACUUCGUGCCAGCAGCCGCGGUAAUACGAAGGUGGCAAGCGUUGCUCGAAAUUACUGGGCAUAAAGAGCGUGUAGGUCGUGUGAUAAGCGGGGAAUGAAAUCCCAUGGCUCACCCAUGGAACUGUUCCUCGAACUGUCAUGCUUGAGGGCGAGAGGGGAGAGUGGAAUUCCUGGUGUA